AUAGCUUUUAACAAUGGAUCUGUAGGCUCUCACAUCAAUGAAGAACACAGCUAAAUAUGAUUAGAAAUGUGAAUUUCAGAAUUCAGUGAAUAUUUGAAUCUUUGAACACAAUCUGUGCCUCUUUGUAUUCAGAAUGGCAAACCUGUUUGAGUUUCAUAAAAAUUUCUUAUUAAUUCAUUGUAUUUUAUUAAGAUUCUCUAAUUUAUUUUGCAAGUUUCUGUAAUUGGCUCACUUCAAAUAUAUAAGUUUUUUUCAUACUUUGAUUUGGAUUGACUUAAUGUGAUAUAUUAUCUUCAUUAAGAAGUGUAUCUUUCAAAUACUUCCAUUGCUUCACAGGAAUGAAAUUGCUUCUAACCUGUCAGUAUGAGAAAUGUUUUGUUUAAGACCUCAAAUCAGGUGGUACUACCUGCUGAACUUGAGCAUAUCAAUAAGCAGAGGAAAAGAAACAAAAAUGGAUUACCCCAGUAUCAGCAAAUGAAGAGGGAAAAGCCCAAAUUUGAAAUCUGGCUAUUUUAGAGUCUGAGUUGUAAUUCGAAGAGCUGUUUUAUGUGCUACCCCAUUUAUAAGUCCAUUGGAAAACAGCAUCAUUGAGGGUGAUAAUCCCAUUUAUGAAAUGGAUAAGUAGUACUAUAUGAUACAGUAUCUAAGAGUUGAGUUGUUUGGGGAUGAAGGUCAAAGUGGAUGUUGAAUUCCAUCUAAGGUUAAACCUAGGUGAGAGACCAAUAGCAAACAAUUAUUGUGUGGGAAAGAUGAAAAGAACUUUGGAAAGAGAGUCAACAGUAUGUGAAAUUGUUAAAAGGGAAAAAUUUGAAGUUAGACUUUUCAUUGUUAGUACAGCUUUUCUAAUGGUGUAUUCUAAUGAUCAACAGACCAACAUCAAUCUUUGAAUGUUGGAGAAGGCUUUUAGAGAUGUUGCAGUUUAGGCUGUGUUAUAAUCCUUAAAUUCAAUACAAUUUUUAAGAUUAAGGAUUGCAAUAAGCCAUUUGUCUGGUAAAACAAAUUAAUCAUUUCUUUGAGAAUUUUGGUAUAAUAGCUUUCAAUUACCUUUCUUUAAACACAGACCAAGGAGUAUAACAUGCUUGCAAGUCUUUGUGUGUUAAAACCCUUAUGCAUGAUGAAAGUGAAUGUAAAUGGGAUGUUUAAAAAGUGCACUAUUGACCAAUCCAGAUUACUUAUUGAUGUUACUGAGUAAGAGCAAGUAUUCUGGGAGCUGGAUAGGGCAAAGACAGACAAAAUCUGGUGGAAUCUCAUAGCAUUUCUGACAUGAAAAUAGCUUGUCAAAUUUGGGUAUAGGGGUGAAAGACUAAUUGGUCAAUUUAGUAGCAGGUUCCUGCCAAAUUUUCCCUCAGGAUAGCAGAGACUCACAUCAGUUUUAUGAGGUAAAGGUAAUGAUUAGAGGCCUUGGGGAUGAAACAUUCUUAACCUAUUCUCAAACUUUAAAUAUGUAAGAUACCCCUGUUUCUUAAUUGAACUUAGGAAUUUGAAUGAGAGUCUCUUGUGGGCCAUUUUUGGUAAGCAGAACUGGCAAUGAGGGAUGAACCAAAUGCAAGGUUAAGUUUCCAGAAUAUACGCUCAUGAGACACCACAAAAGGUGUUAGGUCAUCUAGACAGCGGUACACUAGCCAUGGAAGUCCUAAUUGGCUAAUGAGUGUGUAGCAACUCAAUGGCCGAAUGAACUAGCCCUGAAAAUAGAUGGUGCUUAAGUGUAUUUCCUAUACCUUGUCAUUAAUAUUAUUCAAAAUAUUAAUGAGUAGGAAGGUGGGGGAUUUUGUGUUGAAGGUUUAGCGGUGAUUCUGAGUGAAAUAGCCUCUAGUGCAAAUUUUGGUGGAAGUAGCAAAUAUUCAAGUGAGAACCUUGAAGACUGAAGUGGGGAAGGUUUCCAUGGUUACAGUAGUGGGACAUGAGUUAGUCAGUCCUAAAAGAUAGGGAAAUCCUGUUUUAAAGUAUGCUCUUGUUAGCAUCACCUAUUGAAAUGGAAGGUAGUUAAAACUCCACAACUGGGAUACAGAUUUUGAAUGGUAACAUAUAUGAGCUUGGUUACAUCUGCAAGGACCCCAGGAACAGUUUUCUUUUCUCCUUAACAAUCUGAAACCCUGGAAGAAAACUAUGUGGAGAUAGGGUUUAUUGAUGGGUAGAGAUUUACACUGCUUUAAAGUCUGGUGUGUCCUUGAGAAUCCUUGAAAAAACAAGGGAUUUACAAGCCCUUGUACCCAACUGUGCCAAUAUCCGCAUCAGGUCCCCAAGGUGAGCAGGCUCUGGUAAAUAGAGUAAUAUAGAUAAGGGAAGUUGGAAAAAUAGAUCCGUAACUUUGGCAAAAGGAUUGGCCCAUAGGGCAGGGCUUGUUGGGCCCUUAAUAUAUCUUUAAGGAUCUGACUAGGAUUACUACUAGGAAACUAGUGGCGGACUUGGAUGGAACUUUAUUGUGAUGUUUUGGGCACAUUUUAAAUGUGUCUGGCAAGAAAUCAACUGUCAACUAUGAACUGGAACAGACAAGAGGAAUCUGACUGUCUAAUUAAAACAUAGAAUUGUGAUGGCCAGAAAAUGGUGUUGAUACAAUGUGAUUUCUUCCCACUGCUCUGAAUGUCAAAAUGAAGAAAUUCAACCAAGCCUGGGUAAAUGGCAGGAGUAACUAUUACUCCCUUAAGGUAGCCAAAUUCCUGGUCAUAUAAUUAGUGACGUGCAUGAAUGGAUUAACAACAGUCCCACUGUCCCUAUCUACUAUCUAGGAAAGCCACAGCCAAGGGAACAGGCUUGGUAGAAUCAGUCGUGAAAGAAGACCCUGUUAAGCUUGACUCUAGUUUGACAUUUUGAAAAGACAUAGAGGGUGUAGAAGGGGGUUGGAGCAGAAGCUCCAGUGAAAUAACACUACCUUUCUUUUCUUUUUACUUAUUCAUACAGCAGAGCUGGGAUUAACAUCCCACUUCUUAGAGCUGAGGUAUUUUAUAGGACAAUCUGGGUUGAAGACAUUGUCAGGUGGGAAGUGUGGCUGGGGCAGCACAUCUGUUGAAUGAUAACACAGGUUUCCUAAGGGGGACUCAUUGAGAACAAAAAUCUCAAGUACAACCAAAGGGUAAAAGUCCCAUUGAUUUUGAUAUUCAGUGUCAAUACAAACCAUGAAAGUGUGGCCUAUAAAUCCUUUAGUCCCUGAGCAUUUAAACCUAGAGGUUCCAUAAAACUUACCACAGGGAUAACUGGCUUGUGGCAUCCAAAAAUUGAUACAAACAUUUCUUCUUGAUCCUUUUAUUUUGGCUCUCCCUAUCAUACAUAAGCAGAAUUCAGUAAGCAUUGGAUUGUUCACCCAUUAAUAGGGAAUGUGAGCUGGGUUUAGACCAUUGUGAGACAGGUUAGUUUUCCCUUACUGAUGGAAAGUCAUUGUAAUAGUAAUUGAAUUUAGUACAAGAGGACUGUCCAUUCAUGUAAUAGGUAUUUACACGUGUUCAAGAGGACAAUGGUGUGAAGCUGCCACAUGUUGGAUCAUGGCUGAACACCUCUAGGUCAGAAUCCCUUCUAGAAACAAUGGUCCUGUCCCAUACAUCAAUGGUGUGUUGAUAUAGAGCAUAUUCCUUUGUAUCAUGAGUUGUGGGUUUCCUAGACAAGUGGAAAGACUUGGAUAGUGCUCUCACCUAUCUUGAAUGAAAUAUGU
rnacentral:rRNA from 1 species